rnacentral:misc_RNA from 1 species
GAUGAAGAACGUAGCGAAAUGCGAUAAGUAAUGUGAAUUGCAGAAUUCAGUGAAUCAUCGAAUCUUUGAACGCACAUUGCGCCCGUCAGUAUUCUGGCGGGCAUGCCUGUUCGAGCGUCAUUACGCCCCUCAAGUCCCCUGUGGACUUGGUGUUGGGGAUCGGCGAGGCUGGUUUUCCAGCACAGCCGUCCCUUAAAUUAAUUGGCGGUCUCGCCGUGGCCCUCCUCUGCGCAGUAGUAAAACACUCGCAACAGGAGCCCGGCGCGGUCCACUGCCGUAAAACCCCCCCCAACUUUUUAUAGUUGACCUCGAAUCAGGUAGGACUACCCGCUGAACUUAAGCAUAUCAAUAAGCGGAGGA